UAAUUCAACCGAAUCUCAAUUUUAAAGCACCAGUUCUUGUCCAAUCACCAAAGUUAAGCAACAUCGGGCCUAGUAAGUACUUAGAUGGGUGACCACUGGGGAAACCUAAGAGCUGUAAGCG
rnacentral:rRNA from 1 species